rnacentral:rRNA from 1 species
CCGGAGCUUGCUGCCACCGGAAAAAGAGGAGUGGCGAACGGGUGAGUAACACGUGGGUAACCUGCCCAUCAGAAGGGGAUAACACUUGGAAACAGGUGCUAAUACCGUAUAACAAUCGAAACCGCAUGGUUUUGAUUUGAAAGGCGCUUUCGGGUGUCGCUGAUGGAUGGACCCGCGGUGCAUUAGCUAGUUGGUGAGGUAACGGCUCACCAAGGCGACGAUGCAUAGCCGACCUGAGAGGGUGAUCGGCCACAUUGGGACUGAGACACGGCCCAAACUCCUACGGGAGGCAGCAGUAGGGAAUCUUCGGCAAUGGACGAAAGUCUGACCGAGCAACGCCGCGUGAGUGAAGAAGGUUUUCGGAUCGUAAAACUCUGUUGUUAGAGAAGAACAAGGAUGAGAGUAACUGUUCAUCCCUUGACGGUAUCUAACCAGAAAGCCACGGCUAACUACGUGCCAGCAGCCGCGGUAAUACGUAAGUGGCAAGCGUUGUCCGGAUUUAUUGGGCGUAAAGCGAGCGCAGGCGGUUUCUUAAGUCUGAUGUGAAAGCCCCCGGCUCAACCGGGGAGGGUCAUUGGAAACUGGGAGACUUGAGUGCA